UCAGACUACGUACAAUAAUUAAAGGCAGCUGGCAAAGCACAAUCGAAAGUACAAGAAUGAUAAUGAAGCAUUUAGUUCCUUGACAAGAUACCACUUGCAGAAAAGUACCUGUGCUCAGACAGAUAUCCUUACGUAAAGAAGAUAACCAGAUGUGGUAAUCAGCCAUGAGGAUUUUUCUAUGCUGCAACACUAUGAAGGAGGGUAUCUCAAUCCCUAUGCCAGUAGUUUGUUCAAGAUCAUUACAAAAAGCAAGCUGUCUCUGUGCAAGUUUGAUGCAGCAGAGCAUGUCAACCCCCCCGUGAACCUUGUGGAAGGGACUCAGAGGAAGGAGAAAAGCAAAGGACAGGCUGCUGUGCGUGUGGACACCAAAUCUCAAAGGCUACCACUCAAUUGGCGUAGUACCCUUUUCCUCUGAGUCAACCCACAUCUGCCUGGCUUCAAAACGUCCUGCCCGGUAUCAGCCACCCACUGGAGACUUCAGAAAUCUCAUCCCACAGCCAACAACAGUAUUGGUCUGCAUCAGCCCUGGCUGCUCCACGAAAGGUGGAAGCAUGCAGGAAAAGCCCAGGUGAUGGCAGAGCAAACAUUUGGUGUGGUGACACUGUACAGCUCAUCCCUGAGGUACUCGGGCUCUGGCAGAGCACAUGCUAACAGUUGCUGAUGAGUGAUGCUUAUUAGAAGCAUCACCUUCACCAGGUGAUGCUUACCAGAAGCAUCACUGCGUAAGUUUCACGACAGGCUCAUACACAGCCUGAUAUCCAUCAGGAUAACUGCAACAUGAGGACAGAAGCGCUAUCAUUGGUACGUUCCGCAGCAGAAAAAAAGAUACUAAUAAGCGAUAUUGGCAAAUUGAUAUCCCACCAGUGAACUGGAAAAUGGGUAAGUAAAUGUGCCUAGAUUGAGCCCUGCAGUGACCCUAAGUCAGAAGGGUCCCUGUGCUCUUCUGCAUCACCCAGGGGAAGCCAGAGGCAGCUCCCACCUUCACCAAACACAGAGGACAACCUGAUUCCUUCAGGUUCAGGGUGGUUAAAACUGAAGCCCUGUAGUGAGGAAGACACCACGCCCUGUCACCUGAACCAGCAGGAAGCGAAGCCAAGCAAGCCCACUGUGGACCAAACCCACCAGUGGGUGACACCUGUCAGUACAGAUAUGCAUAGCAGAUCUGGCUACACAACAUGGACAUUCAGAAGAUGCGCAGAUGCACCACUGGAAGACAAAUUCCAGGUCCCAACAAAGCCGGGACGACCUAGCUCUCCUUCCUUUGUUCAUAAUGAUUACAAAGUCUUCCACCAUCACACAUCCAUACAGGCACCUUGCAAAUGAGGAAAGCAGUCGUUUAAUGUGCUUUGGACCAAACAUCUCACUGAUGAGAAAAAUCCCCUUCUGGAAUACACUGGCCCCAUACCAAUGAUCUGAAUACAAACCACAGGUCAAAGAGAUGCACCCACCAAGAUCAUAUCACAGAACCACAGAAUCACAGGAUGGUUUGGGUUGGAAGGAACCUUAAAGGGCACCUAGUUCCCACCCCCCCUGCCAUGGGUAGGGACACCUUCCGCUAGCCCAGGUCGCUCCAAGCCCCAUCCAGCCUGGCCUUGAGCACUGCUGGAGCAGAGGCACCUUCAUCAGGGUGAUGAAAAAUCCUGUAGGCAAUGAGCAAAACUUUUUAGGGUUACAUAUCAGGAAACCAAAUACCAGUUCCCUGGAAGAACCUGGUUUUAUUUAUUUGAGUGGACAUUAGUUACUUGAUUUCAUGAGACCUGCUGGAGAAAACUGUAAGAAUCCUAUUUUCUUCAAAGAAAAUCCCAACCCUUAACAUGCAGGUAUUGAAAGUGACUUAUCACUUUGAUUCAAAUGUACGAACUACACAAAAUUACGUACAUAAGGUAGAGGGGUUGACAUAUGAUGACCAGUCCCAGUUGAUGCAGUUAUCGGUGGGAACCUGGACAUCAGUUCAGAAACCAAAAGACAGGGGGAUGUGGUUGCUGGCUGUGCUGCUCUUCACGUGUCACAGGGUCCCACGGCAGAGCGGUGAGCCAUCCAGCUCCAACAGACUCCCAACUGGACCAGACUGCAUCUCCUAAAAG